UGACUCGCACUCCCAUCAGACCGGUGCCAAGAUGCGUGACAACGCGGCCACGGACAACAGCCGAUCGACUGUCAGGAAACAACAAUGUUAACGAUCCAAUAGCUGUCUCUGCUCGAUCGUGUCAAACUAAGUGAUUCCAGAACAUACUGACCGGGCAGCACGGAUAAAACAGAGCCGAGUUAAAAUGAUGUGAUUAAAGGCGAAACUAGACGGAGAGAUAGAGAAGAAGAAGAAAUAGAAGAUGGAGAAGAGAAUAGAAAAUAGAGAGAAGGAAGGAAAUAUAUGAGUAGAGAAAUAAUUUGAUUAAUCCUACUGAGUUUUUUUAGAUUAUUUUUAAUCCAAAUCUAUGUUUCUAAAGUUUAGGUAUACACCAAAAAAAUAAAUUUUAUUAUUCGAUAAAUUUCUUUUAUUAAAGCAAUUUCGUUUCUUGAGAUGAAAAUAAAAAUUAAAAUAUAAGAAUUAAAAGGAUAGUAGUAUAGGAAUAAGAGGAACGCAGCGGGGUUAAUCCAGGAUAGAAAGAAGCUUUGCGUUUCAAUUUUAUGUCAAAUAUCUUCAAACAUUGAAAGUUUUUUGUUCAAUAAAAUAAAAAUUCGAGGAUCUUAGUAAGGGUAAGUUAGGGUAAUAGGGGAUGAAAUAGAGAUCUUGUAUAUAGAGAGAUCACGUGAGAAGAGUUUUCGAAAUGUCCCGAAAUGUUUCAAAAUAUCUUCGAAAGAAAGUUAGGCAGAAGUCUUUAGGAAUCAGUUCCAGAAAUGCGGUUGGGAAAACACGGUUCUAAAUAUAAUGAUUCACAAAAGUAUUCGAACACUUGUAGAUACCUUUUAUGAAUACGUUAUGUGUGUUAUCCGAAACAUAAAGAACAUUCACUAAUUUCUUUGUCUUAAUUUUAUGUAAUAUUUUUAGGCAUUAGGUAACAAUUAUAAUUUUACUAUAUAUGCUAUAUAAACACUAUAUAAUAAAUGUCCGUCAAUUCUGUCUGUGUUAAACUAUCAAAAUGUUUUACAUAACACACACAAUACACACAUAAAAAGAUUUCCAUGGUAAAUAUUGAAAUACUUUCAUGAACUACUAUAGAUUUUUAAUUACUCUUUUAAUAAAUGAUCAUAGGCAUAAAGCUCGAGGCUCGUAGAUGGUGUCACACAUUCACGCAAGCUCCACUCGGACGGACACGUGAAAUAGAAAUAGAAAGAAAGAAAGAAAGAACAGUGUAUAUGGAGAAGACCGUCGAUCGUUCGUUGUAUCAUCGAUCGAUUUCAUAUUGAAUGAUUAAGAGAGUAGCGAAUAUAGUCGAAGAAGAAAGUAUAGAAUGAGAGUGUAGAGUGAAGAGAACUGGGGGUUCAGUGCAGGGCACACGCUCGCGCACACGUACGUACAAACAUAUGUAUAAAACUUUUGGGAUGUGAUUUCACACGGGUCACAACAACGCAGAGAAUAUAUCAUAUCUAUGUAUACGUCUUCGUGUUUUUGUAUAACGAAAAAAUAUAUAUAUAGAUAGAUAAAGAUAGGUAGAAGAGGAUGCAUGUGUCUUGUCAUAGAUCGAGACAGCUAAAGGUUACUUUUUAUAAUUAACACAUUCGUUGCUUUACAUUGAACGUUAGAUACUUCUCUUGUUAGAAAUAUUUUUCUUUUAAAUAAUAAUUAAUAUCUCUUUAACACACAUUUGUUUUCUGAAUAUUUUAUUAAAACAUACAGAAUAAACAUAUAAAACACGAAGAAUGAUACGAAGGUCACAGGGGAAAAAUAUGAUAAGUAUAUUUUUAUUGAUUUCCUGCUUUUAACUUCGCUUUAUGAUCAAACGGAAGAACUUUUAUAUGACAUAAUUGAAAAUGAAAACAACCUGUCAGAUCCAGAGAUGCAAGUCUUUUAGAAAUAACUAAUGGCUUGAAGAAGGUAACGGACAAGCAAUAUUUUAAUCUCUGCAACAUUGUAAUACAAUAACGAGCAUUAUUUUGAAAAUCUGUAAGAGGAUGAGAAAACUCUUGUUUAACUUCACAACCAAAUAUAUAGACAAUUUUGGUAAUAGGAUUUAUUCACAAUGCGCUGAAUCGUAAAGUUUCUGUGUAAAAAGUAGGAAAUGUGACUUAUUACGUUCUUUCCCUGUAGUCUUCGUAUUAUUGUCAGAUAAUCGAAACGACGCAGCAUGUGCGUCAGUAGCAGUAGACGGUAUUAGUCAGUCAUCUGAAUCUCCUUAAAUCCUCGAUAAACUCUAGCCGUCUCGCAAGACACGCGUUCUUCUCAGACGUAUACGUCAUUAGUAAAAGACAUUACGUAUCAUAUAUAUAUAAUAUGUCGUGGCUACCGAGUUUCACUGUAUUUGUUCCAAGUGUCUAAUCGAACACACGUAAGAAAAAAAGAAAGGAAUUGCACGUAACAUCAAAGUUGGGACGGACCAACGGGACGGACACGUUCAAGUAUUAUAAUGUACGACGAAUAUAUUCGUUUCUCACGAGUAUAUACAAUAAUCAUAUAACGCGUGUGUGUUAUUAUAUAAUAAUUCUGUUAUUAUUCCUAUUAUUGCAGUUAGAAUGAUUCUCUAAAGUAACGAGACGCGUUGGACGAAGGAGAAUCGUAAUACGUGAUCGUGCUGAACAAACUCACCUCUCGUUGAAGGUUUCUUGACGCGCGUAAUUUUGAAGACUGCCUUCGUCGAUUAAAAAUUUCAUCCUCUCGAAGAAGGAAGCGGUGAUGGCCGGCGGCUGCUUUCGCAGAAGUAUAUCGAUCGGCUUCGGUGCUGACACGCAAAGUUGGCUGCUACGACAUAUAUGAUUCGAGCAACAUUCCGGAUCCGCGCAAUCGAUGAGACCGUCUGGAAAAGCAUAGUAAUGGGUUCUUUAUAUCGGAGACUAAUGGCUCUAAAUGGCUGGCAUAAGCCACACCCAUGAUUUAGAGCUCGAAGUAAUAUGAAAAUGAAACGCGAAAACACGAAGUAACAAGUUCCUAAGAAACAAUUACACGUUUCUCGAUUUGGUGUGUCAAUAGAAUACUUUCAAACAUGCUCAAACAUAUUUCUAUCUCUAGAACCAUUCAUGGAUAAAAUAAAGCACCCUACUUAAAGUAACUAGAGGAUCACAUCCACUGCAUUUUUAUCAUAUCAUUCCAAUAAUAAUUUUUUAUAUAUAUUUAAUAUAUUAUAUAUUUUAUAUUUUUAAAUAUGCGAUAGUGUUUAUUUAUUGUAGUGUUGAACUAGAAUUUCAAUUUAAUUUUCUUCACAUAUAUAUCCAAUGAUCUAAAUAAUAACAUUUAUAAUCUAAUUUGUCGAAUUAUGAAUAAUAAUUUACUCCUCGUUUUGUACCUUUGUC